rnacentral:rRNA from 1 species
UACGUAGGGUGCGAGCGUUAAUCGGAAUUACUGGGCGUAAAGCGCGCGCAGGCGGUUUUGUAAGCCAGAUGUGAAAUCCCCGGGCUUAACCUGGGAACUGCAUUUGGGACUGCAAGGCUUGAGUGCGGCAGAGGAGACUGGAAUUCCUGGUGUAGCAGUGAAAUGCGUAGAUAUCAGGAGGAAUACCGAUGGCGAAGGCAGGUCUCUGGGCUGACACUGACGCUCAUGCACGAAAGCGUGGGGAGCAAACAGG